rnacentral:lncRNA from 1 species
CAACAGGAAGAACAAAAAUGUGCCAAAGAGUCCUGGAAAACACCUGUUUUUUUUUUUUUUUGUUUUUUGUUUUUUAAGAUUUCUUUCUUUCUCUUUCUCUCUCUCUUUCUUUCUUUCUUCCUUUCUUUUUUCUUUUCUUUUCUUUCUUUCUUUCUGUCUUUCUUUUUUCAUUCUUUUCUUUUUUUCUUUCUUUCUGGUUAUCCAUUUCUUUUUUUAAUUUUUUGCCAUGACUUGUUGCGGCUUCCUCACCCAUUUAAGCAACAGCCAGCAAAGAGCAGAGCUGACUGAGGCGGAGCUGCCGUCCAGGGGCAGGAAGGAAAUGGGGAGGGAGUGCUGUCCGGAGCAGGGAACAGAGGAGAGAGGAAGGGAGGUCAGUGGCCCUGACCACGGCCGAGAGCCAAGUUCAGUGCACAUCCGAGACGGGCUUACUCAAGGUUGAGAAGGUCUUUGGAAAUCUUGGCCAGGGCGGUUUCGGAGGCGUGGUGGGGCCGGAGCAGAGUCAGGUAUUGGAGGGUAAUACAAUACAGGGUAUGGGCGAGAAUCAUUCUUUCCAGAGCUUUGUGCCUGGUGGGGAGAGACAGGAGGAGACGGACUGUGAGCGGGGAACGAGGGCUUGGUUUGAAUCCUGAGGGGAAGGAAGGAGUCCAUACAGAUGGAGAGGCUCUGGGUGCAAAACAGAAAUCAUAACGUGUUUUUUCUCUUGCGUAUCUAAAAACUUCCUCCAGCACCUACUGAGUAUGAGGCCCCCGGCUGCGUGGUGACUGUGGAGGGCCAGGGCUGGAGAAAGGCUGCAUGUCGAGUUUAAUGAUUUUUCCAGCCUAUUCUUAGAAACGUCUUCAAAGCUGUGCUAACAGGUUGGCUCUGGCUGAUAAGGUGCCAUCGCCCCUUGCCUCUGAUGUUAUGUGGUGCUCAGUCUUCUAGACAUUGUUCCACUAAUUGGCUUCCCGGAGCUGCUUGCUCGGCUGUGCCAAGGGCGAUUAACAGACUGUGCUGAUGCGGCUCCCAGCCCUCGCGAGGGGCAGCACGUGAGCCCGUCCUUGGGAAGCUGGAGGCCAGAGAGUGUCCUUCCGAAGGCCGGAGCAUCCCAUGGUUCCGGAGCCCUGAGGCUAAAUUCCACGCGAGGGCCCUUGUGCUUUAUUUUCCUCUAGGUUGACCCAUCCUGGGAGAGACUUGGGACAAAGCACCAUUGUUUAGCUUGUGGAUGCAAGAAACAGAAAAAAAAAAGCGUAGUUAAGAAGGGAACAGGACAUUCUAAGCUUGGGCUUCUCAACUAUCUGUAACAAAGGUUUAUUUUGUUUAAUUUCUUGGUCUAGACUAAUGCUGACUCUCACUUCCUGUCAUUGGAACCAUAACACAUUGUUCACGGACCUGCCCUAGUUCAAAGUCCAUGCUUUGGUCAAUUUCUCCUACUAAUAAUGAUGCUAACGUAGGCACUUUAUGCAUGCCCAGGUUAGGGUGGUCAGCCGGCUUCACCUUUGGAGCCCCAGGAGCCCGGGUCAGAGGCUUCUCAACUCUCUUCCCUGCAGGAUUGAGUGUGUACCUUCCAGUGGGUUUCCCCGGAAACAGGCCCCCAGACAAGGAUGCGAAGCUCCUGCUGUGGCGAAACAGGCUCGGUGGCAUCUCGGGAGCACUGGGACGCAGGUUUAAUCCCCAGCCCAGCACAGUGGGUGAAGGAUAUGGCAUUGCCUCAGCUACAGCUUAGGUUGCAGUUGUGGCUUGGAUCCAAUACCUGGCCUAGAAACUGCACGUGCGUGGGUCAAC